GCCGGGGUAGCUCAAUCGGUAGAGCGUGUGGCUCUUAUUGGAGAGACAACCUCAAGGUCGCGGGUUCGGUUCGUCUAAUAUA